UACGUAGGGUGCAAGCGUUGUCCGGAUUUAUUGGGCGUAAAGAGCUCGUAGGCGGUUUGUCGCGUCGGCCGUGAAAUCUCCACGCUUAACGUGGAGCGUGCGGUCGAUACGGGCAGACUUGAGUUCGGUAGGGGAGACUGGAAUUCCUGGUGUAGAGGUGAAAUUCGUAGAUAUCGGGAGGAACACCGGUGGCGAAGGCGGCGACCUGGGUCGAUACUGACGCUGAGGUGCGAAAGCGUGGGGAGCAAACAGG
rnacentral:rRNA from 1 species